UACGGAGGGAGCUAGCGUUGUUCGGAAUUACUGGGCGUAAAGCGCGCGUAGGCGGCUUUGUAAGUUAGAGGUGAAAGCCCGGAGCUCAACUCCGGAACUGCCUUUAAGACUGCAUCGCUUGAAUCCAGGAGAGGUGAGUGGAAUUCCGAGUGUAGAGGUGAAAUUCGUAGAUAUUCGGAAGAACACCAGUGGCGAAGGCGGCUCACUGGACUGGUAUUGACGCUGAGGUGCGAAAGCGUGGGGAGCAAACGGG
rnacentral:rRNA from 1 species